UGGGGAAUUUUGGACAAUGGGCGAAAGCCUGAUCCAGCAAUGCCGCGUGUGUGAAGAAGGCCUUCGGGUUGUAAAGCACUUUUGUCCGGAAAGAAAUCCUUGGCUCUAAUACAGUCGGGGGAUGACGGUACCGGAAGAAUAAGCACCGGCUAACUACGUGCCAGCAGCCGCGGUAAUACGUAGGGUGCAAGCGUUAAUCGGAAUUACUGGGCGUAAGCGUGCGCAGGCGGUUUGCUAAGACCGAUGUGAAAUCCCCGGGCUCAACCUGGGAACUGCAUUGGUGACUGGCAGGCUAGAGUAUGGCAGAGGGGGUAGAAUUCCACGUGUAGCAGUGAAAUGCGUAGAGAUGUGGAGGAAUACCGAUGGCGAAGGCAGCCCCCUGGGCCAAUACUGACGCUCAUGCACGAAAGCGUGGGGGAGCAAACAGGAUUAGAUACCCUGGUAGUCCACGCCCUAAACGAUGUCAACUAGUUGUUGGGGAUUCAUUUCCUUAGUAACGUAGCUAACGCGUGAAGUUGACCGCCUGGGGAGUACGGUCGCAAGAUUAAAACUCAAAUGAAUUGACGGGG
rnacentral:rRNA from 1 species